UUCACAGUGGCUAAGUUC
rnacentral:ncRNA from 4 species